GAUGAACGCUGGCGGUAUGCUUAACACAUGCAAGUCGAACGGACACGUCGGAGUUAGUGGCGGACGGGUGCGGAACGCGUGAGAAGCUGGCUGUGGGUUCGGGACAACCACUUUAAGCGUUGUCUCAGACCGGAUGUGCCUAUAGCGAAAAGAGAAAUUGCCUGAAUAGUAGCUCGUGUCUGAUUAGUGAGUGGGGGGGGUGAAUGCUCACCAAGGCAGCGAUCAGUAGCUGGUCGGAGAGGAUGGCCCGCCACGGUGGGACUGAGACACGGCCCAGACUCCUACGGGAGGGAGCAGUGGGGAAUUGUCCGAAAGGGGCGAAAGAGUGACGGAGCAAUCCCGCGUGAGGGAAGAAGGCUCUUGGGGUGUAAACCUCUUUUCUUAGGGAAGAACAAAAUGACGGUACCUAAGGAAUCAGCAUCGGCUAACUACGUG
rnacentral:rRNA from 1 species